GCCUGGGUGGCUCAGUCGGUUAAGCGUCUGACCUCGGCUCAGGUCAUGAUCUCGCGGUCUGUGGGUUCGAGCCCCAUGUCAGGCU
rnacentral:tRNA from 1 species